rnacentral:rRNA from 1 species
GGGUGCAAGCGUUACUCGGGAGUACUGGGCGUAAAGCGUGCGUAGGUGGUUUGUUAAGUCGGAUGUGAAAGCCCUGGGCUAAACAUGGGAAUGGAAUUGGAAACUGGGUGACUGGAGUGCGGUAGAGGGUAGUGGAAUUCCCGGUGUAGCAGUGAAAUGCGUAGAUAUCGGGAGGAACAUCCGUGGCGAAGGCGACUACCUGGAACAGCACUGACACUGAGGCACGAAAGCGUGGGGAGCAAACAG